GAGAACGUAGCGCAGCCUGGUUAGCGCACCAGUCUGGGGGACUGGGGGUCGGAGGUUCAAAUCCUCUCGCUCC
rnacentral:tRNA from 1 species